CAAAUUCAAACAAAGACAUGCUUGCAAGUUAUGCAUCAGACAAUUUUUCACGGUCAUCCGCCUCUCUCAUGAUGAUUCCUGCUCAACAACAAAUUAUCCUCAUUGGAAAAAUUCAGUCACAAACUUCGGUAAGUGUAGUAGAUAUUUAAACGUGUACAAGUUUACUUAUAAAACAGAGAUAAACAUGUGAUUUUUUGUUCGUUGACAAAUUGAAAGUUUUCACGUUGAGGCAGAAAUUUCAAUAUCAAAUGACAUGUAGUAGUUUUUGUGUGCUUGGGCUGCUAAUAAAAGUUGCGAGCGAAGGAAAGAAGAGAUUUUGACUGCACCAAGUGUAAAUGGACAACAUUACUUCCUCGGGUAUUAUAGUUUUACCAUACUUAGAAGUAUCAUUUUAGCAAAUAUAUCAUAUAUGUACAUAUAUUAUACCAUCUUUAGUUGCAUGUAUAUGUUCCUGAUUAAUUUUAUUAAUGGUAGUGGUUCAACAACUGCAGUAAUUUUGGGUGAUGUAGCUGAAAAAAUGCUCGACAUGACAACAAAAGAUAUAUUUGACACAGCAUGUGACAGGUACAAACUUAGACCAAUUAGUUAUUUUGUAUUAGUAUAUUUUAUGUAUAUUCUUAUUAUGUGACCCACAAUUUAAUUAUUUUUAGCAUGAAAAAUUCAUCUAUAUGUACUUUUACGGUACUUUCAUUUCAACUUAGUUUACCUGGUACUUUAGAUCUAAAAAAUUAUCUUUCACUUUUAGAAAUAACUCACGCACAUUAACAAUGUCCUAGAUAUGUUUUCGGACAGAAUCUUCCGAAU
rnacentral:lncRNA from 1 species